AUUGAACGCUGGCGGCAGGCCUAACACAUGCAAGUCGAGCGGAUGACGGGAGCUUGCUCCUCGAUUCAGCGGCGGACGGGUGAGUAAUACCUAGGAAUCUGCCUGAUAGUGGGGGACAACGUUUCGAAAGGAACGCUAAUACCGCAUACGUCCUACGGGAGAAAGCAGGGGACCUUCGGGCCUUGCGCUAUCAGAUGAGCCUAGGUCGGAUUAGCUAGUUGGUGAGGUAAUGGCUCACCAAGGCGACGAUCCGUAACUGGUCUGAGAGGAUGAUCAGUCACACUGGAACUGAGACACGGUCCAGACUCCUACGGGAGGCAGCAGUGGGGAAUAUUGGACAAUGGGCGAAAGCCUGAUCCAGCCAUGCCGCGUGUGUGAAGAAGGCCUUCGGGUUGUAAAGUACUUUCAGCGAGGAGGAAGGGGUGUGUGUUAAUAGUACACACCUUUGACGUUACUCGCAGAAGAAGCACCGGCUAACUCUGUGCCAGCCGCCGCGGUAAAAC
rnacentral:rRNA from 1 species